AUUGAACGCUGGCGGAAUGCUUUACACAUGCAAGUCGAACGGCAGCACGGACUUCGGUCUGGUGGCGAGUGGCGAACGGGUGAGUAAUGUAUCGGAACGUGCCCAGUCGUGGGGGAUAACGUAGUGAAAAUUACGCUAAUACCGCAUACGAUCUAUGGAUGAAAGCGGGGGAUCGCAAGACCUCGCGCGAUUGGAGCGGCCGAUAUCAGAUUAGGUAGUUGGUGGGGUAAAGGCCCACCAAGCCAACGAUCUGUAGCUGGUCUGGGAGGACGACCAGCCACACUGGAACUGAGACACGGUCCAGACUCCUACGGGAGGCAGCAGUGGGGAAUUUUGGACAAUGGGCGAAGGCCUGAUCCAGCCAUUCCGCGUGCAGGAUGAAGGCCCUCGGGUUGUAAACUGCUUUUGUACAGAACGAAAAGGUUUCUACUAAUACUAGGAGCUCAUGACGGUACUGUAAGAAUAAGCACCGGCUAACUACGUGCCAGCAGCCGCGGUAA
rnacentral:rRNA from 1 species